rnacentral:hammerhead_ribozyme from 1 species
GCACUAUUGACGUGUCCCAAACAGGACGAAACAGUUGUCCAGUGC